AACGGCCGCGGUAUCCUAACCGUGCAAAGGUAGCGUAAUCAUUUGUUCUUUAAAUGAGGACUAGUAUGAAUGGCCCCAUGAGGGUUUAACUGUCUCUUACAACUAAUCAAUGAAUCUGAUCUUCCAGUACAAAAGCUGGAAUAAACACAUAAGACGAGAAGACCCUGUGGAGCUUUAAAUACGUAAUAAAUACUUAUAAACACCAUAAGGCAUAUUAAGAGUAUUCACUUUUACCGGUUUUCGGUUGGGGCGACCGUGGGGUACAACAUAACCCCCAUGAAACUACAAGUGCACCAAGUAGACAUACUACACGCACAAAUAAAUGACCCAGCAACGCUGAUUAACGAACCAAGUUACCCCAGGGAUAACAGCGCCAUCCCCUUAAAGAGUCCCUAUCGUCAAGGGGGUUUACGACCUC
rnacentral:rRNA from 1 species